CAAAAACAUAGCUACAUGAAAUUAUAUCUAGUUACUUCUGCUCAAUGAUAAUUUAAAUAGCCGCAGUACCCUGACUGUGCAAAGGUAGCAUAAUCAUUUGGCUUAUAAUUGAAGUCUAGCAUGAAAGAAAUUACGGGUAAUUACUGUCUCUCAAGGUGUGUUAAAAAUUAUUGAACAAGUGAAAAUACUUGUAAUUUAAUAAUAGACGAGAAGACCCUAGAAAUUUUAUCUAAGAUAAUAUAGGUAUUAUUAGUAUUUUGUUGGGGCGACAGAAUAACAAAUAACUUAUUUAACUAAAUGGGAACUAUAUGGUGAGUAUAAUUAAAUUACUCUAGGGAUAACAGCAUAAUUUGUAAGAGUUUGUGACCUCGAUGUUGGACUAGGGAUUAUAUUGUUUAGAAGAUAAUAUAACAAGCUCUGUUCGAGCUACUUUCCCUACGUGAUCU
rnacentral:rRNA from 1 species